UGACCGCUGGCGGUAGGCCUAACACAUGCAAGUCGAACGGCAGCACAGUAAGAGCUUGCUCUUACGGGUGGCGAGUGGCGGACGGGUGAGGAAUACAUCGGAAUCUACUUUUUCGUGGGGGAUAACGUAGGGAAACUUACGCUAAUACCGCAUACGACCUACGGGUGAAAGCAGGGGAUCUUCGGACCUUGCGCGAUUGAAUGAGCCGAUGUCGGAUUAGCUAGUUGGCGGGGUAAAGGCCCACCAAGGCGACGAUCCGUAGCUGGUCUGAGAGGAUGAUCGGCCACACUGGAACUGAGACACGGUCCAGACUCCUACGGGAGGCAGCAGUAGGGAAUAUUGGACAAUGGGCGCAAGCCUGAUCCAGCCAUACCGCGUGGGUGAAGAAGGCCUUCGGGUUGUAAAGCCCUUUUGUUGGGAAAGAAAAGCAGCAGGUUAAUACCCCGCUGUUCUGACGGUACCCAAAGAAUAAGCACCGGCUAACUUCGUG
rnacentral:rRNA from 1 species